rnacentral:lncRNA from 1 species
UGCAUACACACAUGUACAUAUUUAUGAGGAUACUCUUGAGGCCAGCAAGGAGGGAGGUAUGUAGCCUGGUGUACCCUGGCUGUUUUGUGUGCUAGGGAACCCUCUCCACGCUGUGCUUCCAAAGUGCAUUCUUUAAUCAAGAGACAAGCAUAGGACAGUGCUCAGUAAAAACCCAGUCUGGCUUACAAAUGCCAAACCCUCAACAGUAAACAACCUUAGCCAGGAAGUCUACCGUCCCUCCCACUCUCCUGCCGGUCACACCACCACACCAUGGAAGAAAGAGGUAGCCUGUUAAACCCACACCUUCUCUUCUUCCACCUCUACUGUCCGGUUGCACUGGGAAAGCCAGA